GAGUUGAGGCUCAGUGAUAGAGCGUUUGCCUAGCAUGUGCAAGGCCCUGGGUUCGAUCCUCAGCACCACA
rnacentral:tRNA from 1 species